rnacentral:rRNA from 1 species
UACGAAGGGGGCUAGCGUUGCUCGGAAUCACUGGGCGUAAAGCGCACGUAGGCGGAUCUUUAAGUCAGGGGUGAAAUCCUGGAGCUCAACUCCAGAACUGCCUUUGAUACUGGGGAUCUCGAGUCCGGAAGAGGUGAGUGGAACUCCGAGUGUAGAGGUGAAAUUCGUAGAUAUUCGGAAGAACACCAGUGGCGAAGGCGGCUCUCUGGUCCGGUACUGACGCUGAGGUGCGAAAGCGUGGGGAGCAAACAGG